UCCGCUGAGGAUGGCUUUUCCUUGGUGUAACUAGCCGGGGGAAUAAGGAGAGGGCAAGACUGGUGUCAGCCGCCGCGGUAAUACCAGCUCUCCGAGUGGUAGGGAUGAUUAUUGGGCUUAAAGCGUCCGUAGCCGGCUUAGCAAGUUUCCUGUUAAAUUCAGCGACCUAAUCGUUGAGCCGCGGGAAAUACUACUAGGCUAGGAGGCGGGAGAGGUCGACGGUACUUCUGGGGUAGGGGUGAAAUCCUAUAAUCCCGGGAGGACCACCAGUGGCGAAGGCUGUCGA
rnacentral:rRNA from 1 species